rnacentral:rRNA from 1 species
ACAGAGGGUGCAAGCGUUAAUCGGAUUUACUGGGCGUAAAGCGUGCGUAGGCGGUUCAGUAUGUCGGUCGUGAAAUCCCCGGGCUUAACCUGGGAACUGCGCUUGUGACUGCAAGACUCGAGUACGGCAGAGGGGGGUAGAAUUCCACGUGUAGCAGUGAAAUGCGUAGAGAUGUGGAGGAAUACCGAUGGCGAAGGCAGCCCCCUGGGCCAAUACUGACGCUCAUGCACGAAAGCGUGGGGAGCAAACAGGA